UACGUAGGGUGCAAGCGUUGUCCGGAUUUAUUGGGCGUAAAGAGCUCGUAGGCGGUUUGUCGCGUCGGAUGUGAAAACCCAGGGCUCAACCCUGGGCCUGCAUUCGAUACGGGCAAACUAGAGUAUGGCAGGGGAGACUGGAAUUCCUGGUGUAGCGGUGAAAUGCGCAGAUAUCAGGAGGAACACCCGGUGGCGGAAGGCGGCAACCUGGUCCUU
rnacentral:rRNA from 1 species